rnacentral:lncRNA from 9 species
CAAUUAGCUUUUGCGUCUUAAUUCUUCAACAUCAUUCUAGCAGGAUUUUAAACACAAAUCAAAUAGGAAAACAAAGUGGUCUGAUUCAGUCACAGAUUAUACUUUGUUCACUGGCUAGACCGCUAAUAAAUUAUUAUUGCUACUUUUUUAGAACAAUGUGUUCAAAACUGACCAUCAACUACUGGGUUGUCUGGAAGACUGGAAAUAUAUUCUUACCUUUCAGAGACUAGUCUUUACCUUUAAGAUAUUUUAGCCUCUGAAAUGCCUAAAAGUAGGUGGUGAGCUUUAAAUGACUGCUACUCUCUCCAUGAGCUUAACAGUUCCUGACUUAAGAAUGAACAAAUCCAGGAGUUCCCGUCGUGGCACAGUGGUUAACGAAUCCGAUUAGGAAUCAUGAGGUUGCGUGGGUUUGAUCCCUGGCCUUGCUCAGUGGGUUAAGGAUCCAGCGUUGCCAUGAGCUGUGGUGUAGGUCGCAGACACGGCUCGGUUGCUGUGCCUCUGGUGUAGGCUGGCAGCUCCAGCUCUGAUUAGACCCCUAGCCUGGGAACCUCCAUAUGCCACGGGAGCGGCCCAAGAAAUGGCAAAAAGACAAAAAAAAAAAAAAAAAAAAAAAAAAAAAAAAAAAAAAGAACAAAUCCAUGAGUGUUUUAUUAGUUUUCACUGUAUUAAGUCCACUGCAAAAGUUUACUUUUUUCAAGUUUAAGAUACUACACACAUGGAAAAAACACAAUCCUAUGUAGACAUGAGAACAAUCACAGGAAAUGAUACCAGGUAGCAAGUCAUACUUUACAUUUCUACAAGGCAUUACAAUUUUCAGACUACUUUCAUGAUACUUUUUGUAUUUUAUUCUCAUAGUAAAUCUAUAAUGAAUGUAGAAUAAAAAAGGAAGGAGACAUAAACACAGAACUCUAAAGAUGAAAGUGACAUUAAAGUCCAUCAUAACACUUUUUUACAGAUCAGCAAAUAGAGACCAGAGGAAAAUGAGGCCCAUUGCCCUCUUGCACAGCCUGUCUGCAAGUAAAUAAAGUGAAGACUGGUCACCAGAAGCAUUAUAAAAACGGGUCACAAAAAUAAGAGAAGAAAGAGAAACAUGAUGGCAGUAGAGGACACUAAUUAUGAUUUAACACUUUUUGGUUUCUAAAAAGCAAUUCUAUUGAACUAAAGUUUGAAAUUCAGUGUUGUUCUCUAAGGACCACUUAGCUAUGGUGGUUUUAUGCAAUUACGAGAUUCCUUAGAGAGAAAUAAUAUUUUGAGAUCUAAGUAUGUGCAAACCUCUGAAGAACAUAUAGUAGUUGUAAAUAGCAUACACACAUACACACAAAACCUUAAAAUUCACUACAUUACUAUGGAAAGGAGCCUAAACAUUCUAUAGUUUACUUGAGAAGUUAUUCAUGCAUUUCCUACACACUCAUGCUUGAUCAAUCUUCUACUCUCCCAAUCCAGAGAGAGAGUCCUAGUUGAGUAUCUUAAUAUUGUGGCCUCUUACAUGAUAAAAUUUGAAAGUAAUUUUGCCUUAAAGGACAAUAUAUUAGAAGUAUAUAUUUUCUGUUACAGUAUUCUCAAAAACAAUGCAUAGGCCAGGCCCUAACAUCUUUUAUUCAAAAGGCAAUAGCCAUUUCCAUGAUUCGGUCCAUAAUAUUUUUAAAAAUGUGCAUCUGGGAUAUCAUCAUAAGUCUAAUAAGAGACUGCAUUAUAGAAAAAAGUGAAAAAGUGAAAGCAUUAUAAGUGAAAUCAUUAUUUUGUUUCAUGUUAUUAUUAUUAUUAUUUGUCCAUUUAGGGCUGUACCCACAGCAUAUCAAAGUAUUCAGGCUAGUGGUCAAAUUGGAGAUGUAGAAUUAGAGGACAAAUCUCUACAUUUGAAUCAAUACUUAUUUGUUAUCAGAAUGCAUGAUAAUAACCUCAACAUUUUAAAAAUGCUUUUUGACACCUUUUAAACAUCUGGGAAUGUAAAACACAAUGUCUGAAACACUAUGGAAAGUUUUAUGAUUCUCCUAAAAAAAUGAAAAACAAAUAUCUCUAUUUCCAUUCCAGAUCUGCACAAUAUAUUCUUGCAUCCCAUUUGCUCUGAUUCAUUUACAUUUUGCUGAGUUUUGUUUUCAUUCACUUUCAUCAAUAAAAGGAUUAAAAAAAAUCAACAACAAAAAACCCUCAAAAGAUGCUUUCAGAUGAAAUUGCAAAGAAAAUAAGUACAUGAAUUAGUGAAGCAACAUCCAAGUGUAUACAAAUGUGGCAGUUACAUCUUUUCUCAUCUUGUCCGAGGAUUAAUUGCACUGUUGAAGUUAGGCAUCCAGCCUGAUCCAUGCAGACAGGAGCCCAAGCCAGAAGCAAACUCUUUGAAUAACAACACUGCUUUCUGAUUCUUUUCACAUGGCUACAUUUUUGACAUUUCCUUCAAUGUUCUACCCAGUUGCAGUGUGACUCUGACAAAAGAUUUCUGUAGGCAUCUCUGGCACAUCUGUGGUGAGUGGCAGGUAAUGGAAAGAAGUAACAAGUCCCUUUAGUGGCUCCAAAACACCCACAGGCAUUCUGCAAACCUUUUGUGUACAUGUUGCAGGUAAAGAAUAUAAAAAAGUAGAAACCGUGACGACAAUUUUAAUAAUUUGACAGACAAUUCUAUGAUCUACUCUAACUUUAUAAAGACAAAGUCACUGACACAGGGGAGAAUGACAGGAAUACAUUCUCCCUCUGCCUCUUAAGUCUCUUUAAAUGUUUACAUGAGGGUUUUACAGGUGGAUGGAGAUGACGUUAACACUGUGUUUAUUUACUCUGACCAAGGAUGAAUUAUAAAUGUUUAAUUCAACUGCAAUGGGAUUUUCUUAGAUAUUUUUAAUUUGAUUUCACUUUUGAUACUAAAUCGCUUAUCUGAGCUCUAGAACUUCCUCCCAGGACCCUGGUAGCUGUCAGGUGUCAGUAAUCAUAGUUAGCCCUUCUGUAGUCAGUGUGACCUAAAGUUCUGUCUACAAGGUAGCAAUUAGAGUCAAGUCUCUUCUGGAAAUGCCAAUUACGGCUCUUUAUAUUCUCUGUUGAAUGUCUCCUUAAUGUAAGAAUGACUUAACAUUUUUACCCUAUCAAUCGGAAAAUAUUACUUAAAAUAGCACCCAUAGUUGGUAAUAGUGCAGGAAAGGAAGCAUGCCCAAAGAGGACGGUGAAAUGCAAAAUGGAACAACCUUUCCAGAAAACAAUCUAAUAACACAUAUCUUGAUGUGUUUAUCCUACUAUAUGCACUGAUAUUAUUUGGGGGAUAUUACCCUAUACCUUUAAAUAUUCUCUAAAACCAGAACUUUAAUAUAUGUAUGGCGUUUUGUAAUAUGAAUAUAACAUAGUUUUUCAUUGUUUCUGUAUUUGUCAAAUGUCAAUUUUUGUUAUUGUAAAUAAUGCUAUAGAGAGCAUCUUUAUAAGUAUAUUUUAAAAUUGCAUUCUAUUUAUUCCUUAGGAUAGAUGCCUAGAAGUGGAAAUAUAGCCAUUAGCAAGGUUUACCUUCAAGGAUAAUUUUGUCCUAGAAACUAAGGAAUUAUGACCAGCAAACCAAUUCCUAAAAUAUAAUUCCACUAGAUCAGAUCAUUGUUUACUAGGAAAAAUAUAUGUGGUAAAACUGACCUUGCUUAUUUACACAGCCUUGAUAAUAGGUAAUUCCUCGGAGGAAGCCAAAUCAGAUCACAUGUAUGAUUGAGUAAAUCAUUGACUCAAAAAGGACAAAUCAGGUCCUACCAAAAGGACAUUCAUUUCAAGCAAAGGCACAGUCUGCUGAGUUUAUUGCCUUCUGUCCUAGAGAAAAAAUCCUCCCCCAGGUCCAUUAAUAAAGCCCAUGAACAAAUUCUUACCAUCAUUGGUUUGCAUGAGUUUGCCUCUCUUUUGAAGCCAGAUAAACAACCUGAGUUUAUAAAACUGAAAAGCCAGAAUGUUAUGAAACAUUCUGAAGUUGCCAAAACGUACUUCCCUGAUGGGAUGAGUAGAGAUGAAACUGUCUAGAAGCUGUUCUAAAGGAAAGUGUCAUUGACCCUUAAAUUAAAACGCCAGAAUUUAGAAGUCAGUGAAUAAUGACACAUCCACUUAUCAACCUGUCAUAUUGAGAAAUAUUUAAAAUAAAAAUACUCACUGUUGGCAAGAGAACAAUAUAGCUUCAUGCUCAAACAGAUUUAGGGAAGAGCGAGAGCUGAACAAAGUUCAAGUUGAUAUUUUAAUGUGCUAUUAUGAACCAGGACUCUCCAUAAAGGGCUGUAGCUAGUAGCAUUUCUAAACUUAACCUAGCAAACUCUUCUUGUUUUAAGUGGCCUUUUGUAUUUGGCUCUUGGGUUUCUGUUGAGAACCUCAAGGGAAAACACUCUGUGGAACACUUUUAGUAAAUGUUUCUCUAGCACAGCAGUUCCCAAACAUUUUGGUCUCAAAAUCCAUUCACGCUCUCAAAAACUGUCAAGGGCUUCAAAGAGCUUUUGCUUAGGUAAGUUAUAUCCAUGGAUGUUUAGCACAUGAGAAAUUAAAAGACAAUAUUUUAAAACACUACUAAUUCAACUUAAAAUAACCAUAAUAAUCCAUUAUAUGUUAACAUAUAUAACAUAUUUUCUAAAAUGAAAAAGCUAGUGAGAAUAGUGGCAUUGUCUCAGAGUUCUGAAAAUCGUUUUAAUGUUUGGCUUCACAGAAAGCUGGUAGAUUCUCAUACCUGCUUCUGUGCUGUGUCAUGAUCUACUGUUUUGGAUUGAAGUCAGGGAAAUCCAAGAGGAAUAUUUUCUUAUUGAAAUAUAAUUGAUUUACAAUAUUAUAUUAGUUUCAGGUGCACAAAAUAGUGAUUCAAAAAUUUUUAUAGGAGUUCCCAUUGUGGCUCAGCAGGUUAAGAACCUGACUAGUAUCCACGAGGAUGCGGGCUGGAUACCUGGCCUCACUCAGUGGGUUAAGGAUCUGGCAUUGCCUCAAACUGCAGGAUCAGUCACAGAUGCGGCUCGGAUCCCAUGUUGCUGCAUGUCUCGUAGGCCGGCAGCCACAGCUCUGAUUCAACCCCUAGCCUGGGGACUUCCAUACACCACAGGUGUGGACAUAAAAAGAAAAAAAUCAUUUUUUAUGGAUUAUACACCACUUUUAGUUAUUAUAAAAUAUUGGUCAUAUUCAUUGUGCUGUACAAUACAUCCUUGCAGCUCAUUUAUUUUAUACAUAGUAGUUUGUAUCUCUUAAUCCCCACCUACUAUCUUGCCC